rnacentral:rRNA from 1 species
UACGUAGGGUGCAAGCGUUAAUCGGAAUUACUGGGCGUAAAGCGUGCGCAGGCGGCUUUGCAAGACAGAUGUGAAAUCCCCGGGUUUAACCUGGGAACUGCAUUUGUGACUGCAUGGCUGGAGUGCGGCAGAGGGGGAUGGAAUUCCGCGUGUAGCAGUGAAAUGCGUAGAUAUGCGGAGGAACACCGAUGGCGAAGGCAAUCCCCUGGGCCUGCACUGACGCUCAUGCACGAAAGCGUGGGGAGCAAACAGG